GCUCACUUUCUGGUCCUCCCGCGGGUUCCGCUCCAGGCCACUGGUCUCCAGGCUCCUCCCAGCCCGACUUCCAUGUGCCUCAGAGCGUGGUGGAUCCUAUUUCCUCUCUUGAGGGACAGGGCUGGCGGGAGAAUGCGCAUUUGUGCCUAAGUGCGUGUCUACAUAACUGCAUGCCUGUGUGCCUACGUUCCUGGGUUAUAAAUCAACAUCAUUCCUGGGGGAUGCAUGCUGAGGCAUCGUGGAGUCCCUCUCCCAGCCCUGAGGACAGGCCAGCUGCUGUGAUGAGCAGAACCCACCCUGAAGAAUCCUGCAUGUGUGUUUCACAUCUAUUUGGCCCUCCUGGGUCCCUGUGGUCUAAGGCUCCUACCGAGAAGAAAAAUGGUGGCUUGUUGUCCAACAUUGCUGUCUUGUCACAGGUGAUAUUCUCCCUGUUCCUCUGGUGCUCUUGCAGCCCUCCUUCCUGACUUCCCUGCAGACUGGACGUGAUGGACGGGUCCUCUGGGUUGCCACCCUCCUGUCAGUGGACAGCCUGGAGGCAGAUGGGAAGAGCCAGCCGUCUGUGACCACCCCCUUUUGUGUCACCAGGAGCAUGCUCUAAGGGGCUGAUGUCUGGACCAGGGACUGUGUGUUGGGUGAGGUGCCUGGAUUCUAAAUAAAGCUGUGAGGGCAGCGCAACA